CACCACAAUCUAAAAGCAAUAGCUAAAAUUUUCAUGAAUGAGUUGAAGAUUUUCUUAUGCCAGUUUCUUUCGUCAUCAGAAAUCGUUGUGUUAAGUUCAAAGGCAUCCUCCGAAAACCUCGACUAUCAACUGUAUAGAAAUUCUAUACAGAAACAAGACGGAGAAAAUCCUGUCGCUUCCCAUCUACAAAAUCAUAUGAUAUGCACAGAUCAGAUGGGGCUCCUACCAAUCCUCUGUUUCAAUCUAUUCAAUGGUGUCCCUGAACUGGAGCACCGAUUCACUGGCCCUCCCAUAAAGCUUUCAGGAACUCUACAAUUGGAAUUUCAAUCUUCUUCUUAAAACACAACGCUGUCAAGUUGAUGUAAUUUACCUUGAUAUGAAACAGAGUCCUUGAUAGCCGAAUAGUAGUAUCCUUCUGAUUCCUCCUGCCAGGCUGCCACCAACUAUACCCGCUCAAUUUUCAAGUUGGGUCUAUAAUUGGCUCCAUCAAAUUCAAAACCAAAACUCAUCAAUAAUUUACACCAACCAUCUUGAGAGAAACUUACCUCCUUAAACUGAACCGCAUUCAAACCAAUCGGUGAUUCAAUUUAACUAGCUUUAGCAUCUAAAAUCUCUCUGUCAAACAUCUGCGUAUAGAUAUUGCAAAUUUGCUCACCUGGUUAGGGUGGAAGAGGAUGGCACAUACUCCCAAACAAAGUGCAAAAGUAGCAAUUAAAAAUACUGUGGGGCGCGACUUCAGGACUCUGUUAGAAAAACAGAGACUAGAUGACUUGUUUGGACAUUCUUUGCUGAGCCUCACAUCCAUAACAACCUCUUUACUCAAAAGUGGAACCUUGUCACUUCUAACAACAGCAUAUAAGUUUGAAAUCACUCCCAACUUACCAUUUGAACUUCUUUCAAGAUCCUCACUGGUGAAAAUGGCAGCAACUGAUGGCAUGCUACUUUCAUAACAUCUUCUAACAUCACUUUCGUCCACAGUAUAUUCCCAGUGGAUAGCUAAACCAUCACUCUUCUUAACCUUUUGAAGAAGAAUAUCACUGGCACUAUCCAUAUAUUUCUGUAAUAAAAACAUUUCAGAAUCACUAAUGCCAUAAGCUACCCUGUUUUUCUCCAUUUCAUCCAAUAUGAUUUUCAGAUUUUGUAAAAUUUUAUCCAAUGUGGCAGUUGAUUCAUGGUGUACCAAAAAAUUCAACAAAGAAUUGAGUCUUUGAAUCUGUGAAGACCUCGUGAUUUGGUGAAAGCUUUCUGACGAAGGCUUCUUUAAUAACCAUCCUAUAUCCACAACUAAUUCUGAAAAAGCCAUUUGUCUAUGUGCAGAAAACUCACACUGUGAACCACUUGACAGAUGAGAUGAAGCAAACCUCUGCUGAAUUAUUUUCAUUUCAGAACAAAUUUCUCCAUUC
rnacentral:misc_RNA from 1 species